AUUUUCAGGUGAAAAAUUCUCUUCUUCAGCUCAUUCAACAUUUUUAACUUAACAUUCAGCAAUCAUUACAUUUCAGCUCAAAACAUUAAACUAUCAGCAUUCACACUGCAUUUUCUUUAGGAAAUGUAUUCUCUAGUUUUUCCAUAAUACUUUGUGAUAGAUUACUUAAAGUUGGGCUGUAAGUAUACUACCACAGAAAAAAAAACAUGUAAGCUAAGAAAUAUGUUACCUUUUAUAGGUGCUGUGGAGGUACAGAGGAGAAAAACCAGAAACCUUGAGCGCCAACACUAGAAUAUAUGACUGGAUCCCUCAGAAUGACCUCCUGGGUCACCCUAAAACUAGAGCUUUCAUCACUCACGGAGGCACAAAUGGGAUUUAUGAAGCCAUCUACCACGGGGUUCCCAUGGUGGGCAUACCCAUGUUUGGUGACCAGCCAGACAACAUGGUCCAUAUGAAGGAAAAAGGAGCUGCAGUUAUUCUCAAUUUGAACUUCAUCACAGCUGAGGACCUUAGAGACGUAAUCAACACAGUCAUCAAUGAUAAAUCGUACAAAGAAAAUGCUAUGCGGCUGUCCAGCAUCCACCACGACAGACCCAUGAGUGCUCUGGAAGAGGCAGUAUUCUGGAUCGAGUUCACACUGAGAAACAAAGGGCCAAGCACUUGAGGGUCCAGGCCCAUGAGCUCACCUGGUACCAGUAUCACAGCCUGGAUGUCCUGGGCUUCGUCCUCACUAUGGUUCUACUCAUCAUAUUCAUCUUCAUCAAGACCUGCAGUUUCUGCCUGCACAGGUGCUGUGUCAGGAAAGGAAAGGCAAAAAGGAAAGCUGAAUAACAUCUGGAACAGGUGCUCAUCAGCUCCAUACAGGCAGUAGCAUCUUCUGCAGUGUCAUGACCACAAACUAAGGGGG